rnacentral:rRNA from 1 species
GACGAACGCUGGCGGCGUGCUUAACACAUGCAAGUCGAACGGAAAGGCCCUGCUUUUGUGGGGUGCUCGAGUGGCGAACGGGUGAGUAACACGUGAGUAACCUGCCCUUGACUUUGGGAUAACUUCAGGAAACUGGGGCUAAUACCGGAUAGGAGCUCCUGCUGCAUGGUGGGGGUUGGAAAGUUUCGGCGGUUGGGGAUGGACUCGCGGCUUAUCAGCUUGUUGGUGGGGUAGUGGCUUACCAAGGCUUUGACGGGUAGCCGGCCUGAGAGGGUGACCGGCCACAUUGGGACUGAGAUGCGGCCCAGACUCCUACGGGAGGCGGCAGUGGGGAAUAUUGCACAAUGGGCGGAAGCCUGAUGCAGCAACGCCGCGUCGGGGAUGACGGCCUUCGGGUUGUAAACCGCUUUCGCUUGUGACGAAGCGUGAGUGACGGUAAUGGGUAAAGAAGCACCGGCUAACUACGUG